AUUUCUUUGUAUUUAUAUAGUUUAAAAAAAAACAUUACAUUUUCAUUGUAAAAUUAGGUACUAAUUAUUUUAUAA
rnacentral:tRNA from 1 species